GGGAGGCAGCAGUGGGGAAUAUUGCACAAUGGGCGAAAGCCUGAUGCAGCCAUGCCGCGUGAAUGAUGAAGGCCUUAGGGUUGUAAAAUUCUUUCGCUAGGGAUGAUAAUGACAGUACCUAGUAAAGAAGCCCCGGCUAACUUCGUGCCAGCAGCCGCGGUAAUACGAAGGGGGCUAGCGUUGUUCGGAAUUACUGGGCGUAAAGCGUACGUAGGCGGAUCAGAAAGUAGGGGGUGAAAUCCCGGGGCUCAACCUCGGAACUGCCUCCUAAACUCCUAGUCUUGAGUUCGAGAGAGGUGAGUGGAAUUCCAAGUGUAGAGGUGAAAUUCGUAGAUAUUCGGAGGAACACCAGUGGCGAAGGCGACUCGCUGGACAAGUAUUGACGCUGAGGUGCGAAAGCGUGG
rnacentral:rRNA from 1 species